rnacentral:SRP_RNA from 1 species
GGUCGGGUCCCAGUGACUGUGGAUCCGUGAACCCCGCCAGGUCCGAGAGGAAGCAACGGUGUCGGUCCCCACAGGGUAUUGGAAAACCCGAUCAUC